UUCAUAUCCAAAUUCGAUAUUGUGGCAGACCCUAACUUAAUUAUAAUUAUUAUAAUAGGGCUAAGGUCCUUCACUAGAAAAGGGUCAAAAAAGGAGGAAAUGGGGUAAACCGAAUUUAUGGCGACUAUCUAAGAAUUUCAAUGUGUGAAUCGUAGGUUCAGACUCUAAAACUUAUCUGAUUUUAUCAAUUGUUAGAGAAUUUUUUCUCAAAGAAAUCAUGAAUCUUAUAGGAUAUUGUUAAGGAUCUCAUCGAAAACUUACAGUAACUUGCCAAACAAAGGCUAAGAGGAAAAAAAAACACAGGUAUGACCGGCAUAACAUCUACGAUUGGAUUCAAAAAAGCAUAGGCUUCAGGCAAUUUGCCGAAGAAAAAACUAUUUUAAUGAUGGGCAGAAUUAAGACAAAUAUAGAUCAAAUUAAAGAUAUUGAGCAUAAUAGAUAUUUUGUUCUUGGAGAUAAUUGCAUUUUGAUUGAGUUAGUGAUAUAAGGAAA
rnacentral:lncRNA from 1 species